CUUCGGAGGAAUUAAAUUAGACAUUUGUGAUUUCUAUGGAAAUAUUUUACGACUCUCGCUUAAUACGGAAACAUUUUAGGACUUUGGAUAUCGCUAUCUACAAUCAGUUGGAAUUGAUCUGAUCAUCGUGGAUAUUCGAGAAAAUAUCUAGGAAUUUCCAGGUCAGAUAAAGGACUCAAUGUUAUUGUAGCGAAGUAGAGCUUGUUGUAGAGGUUUAUAACCACCGGAAGUGUUUUUUACCAUGAACGGUAAUUCUUGGCCAAAAGAUAUUUAUAGGGGGAUCAGGCCCCCUUGGCUACGUCUCUGACCACAAACUGUGAGAUAGUUCAGCAUAAGAAGCACAGUCGAUGCUGUGCAAUGUAGUUAUUCUACUGUUGCAGCACAGCAACACUUUCUGAAUGAUGUACAACAGAUGCAACAGCUAAAUUAGUAGACAUACACUUUUAACAGCACUAAAAUGGCUUUAAUUACAAGCCUCUUGGUGGAUGUCCAUAAUGCAAUUCAGGUGUUAACUUGUUGAUUUUAGCAUGAAAAUCUGGUACUCAGUCAAGUGAAAGAGUCCACUUUAGUUGGAUUGGAUGAGCUAAAUAUAAAUGGUGAAAAUUACAGGGAAAUGGUGAGCACUUGGAACAGAAUGAUGGGUGUAUGAAAGGUGUAAAUCUUUGUUUCAGAAGGGACUCCUUCAGAAGUAAACCAGCUGACGAGUAAAUACAUAGACAGACUUCACCAGGACAUCAGUGACAGGAUUACAGAAGAAGAUGAAAACAUCGUCAAUAAUCCAUACUUGAGUCUUCUAUUUUUGGAUGAAGAUCUAGCGGAUGGAGUUAUUACUGAUCUUUCAGAUUUCUAUGGAACUAAUAAAUUAACAAAAAUUUCAAAUAAUGCUGGGGAAAACACUGAAACCAAAACCAUUUGUUACAAAAUUAAUGGCCUAUAUUCAAUAGCAUAUACAUAUAUAAACUCAAAACUGAACAUUUAUGUAAAAGGGUUAUUAAACCGCUUGGUGAUCAAUGUCAAAUUACUUUGUGUAAUAAGUGUUGAUUGUGAAAGAACCUUUUCUGUACAAAACAAGCUCAAGACAAAAUUCGGAUGCUCUAUGAAGGCUGAAAAACUGUUUAAUGAGAAUUGUAAUAUUAGAUCUAAAAACUGCAUUGUAUGAUUCAAGUCCUGCAGAUAAAAUGUGAGACAGUGCUAAGGACAGAAGAAGGGCAAGGCUUUCACAACCAUACAAACGGAGAAUUAAGAAAAUUUAAAAAUAAAUAAAUGUGUUUAUUGUGUG